UACGAAGGGAGCUAGCGUUGUUCGGAAUCACUGGGCGUAAAGGGUGCGUAGGCGGGUCUUUAAGUCAGGGGUGAAAUCCUGGAGCUCAACUCCAGAACUGCCUUUGAUACUGAAGAUCUUGAGUUCGGGAGAGGUGAGUGGAACUGCGAGUGUAGAGGUGAAAUUCGUAGAUAUUCGCAAGAACACCAGUGGCGAAGGCGGCUCACUGGCCCGAUACUGACGCUGAGGCGCGAAAGCGUGGGGAGCAAACAGG
rnacentral:rRNA from 1 species